rnacentral:rRNA from 1 species
AGGGUUUGAUCCUGGCUCAGAAUGAACGUUGGCGGCGUGGAUUAGGCAUGCAAGUCGUGCGGCAGCAGGCCCCGCAAGGGGUGCUGGCGAGCGGCGUAAGGGAGAGUAACACGCGGGUACCUGCCCUCAGGACCGGGAUAGCUGCGGGAAACUGCAAUUAAUACCGGAUGAUGUCUCCGGACCAAAGGUGUGAUUCCGCCGGAGGAGGGGCCCACGUCCUAUCAGCUAGUUGGAGAGGUAAAGGCUCACCAAGGCAAAGACGGGUACGGGGUGUGAGAGCAUGCCCCCGCUCACUGGGACUGAGACACUGCCCAGACACCUACGGGUGGCUGCAGUCGAGAAUCUUCGGCAAUGGGCGAAAGCCUGACCGAGCGACGCCGCGUGCGGGAUGAAGGCCUUCGGGUUGUAAACCGCUGUCAGUGGGGAGGAAAUGCAUGAGGGUUCUCCCUUGUGCUUGACCGAUCCGCAGAGGAAGCGCAGGCUAAGUUCGUGCCAGCAGCCGCGGUAACACGAACUGCGCGAACGUUAUUCGGAAUCACUGGGCUUAAAGAGUUCGUAGGCGGCGCGUUAAGUCGGGUGUGAAAUCCCUCGGCCCAACCGAGGAAUUGCGCUCGAAACUGGCGUGCUUGAGUAAGAUAGAGGUGAGCGGAACUGAUGGUGGAGCGGUGAAAUGCGUUGAUAUCAUCAGGAACACCGGUGGCGAAAGCGGCUCACUGGGUCUUUACUGACGCUGAGGAACGAAAGCUAGGGGAGCGAACGGGAUUAGAUACCCCGGUAGUCCUAGCCGUAAACGAUGAGCACUAGGUUGAGGGGACCUCCACAUCCCCUCGGCCGUAGCGAAAGUGUUAAGUGCUCCGCCUGGGGAGUAUGGUCGCAAGGCU